UACGUAGGGUGCAAGCGUUAAUCGGAAUUACGGGGCGUAAAGCGUGCGCAGGCGGUUCGUUGUGUCUGAUGUGAAAGCCCCGGGCUCAACCUGGGAAUGGCAUUGGAAACUGGCGAGCUAGAGUGUGGCAGAGGGGGGUGGAAUUCCGCGUGUAGCAGUGAAAUGCGUAGAGAUGCGGAGGAACACCGAUGGCGAAGGCAGCCCCCUGGGCUGACACUGACGCUCAGGCACGAAAGCCAGGGGAGCGAACGGG
rnacentral:rRNA from 1 species